GAAUGUCCGAAAAUAUGGCGAGAGUUUGAAAUUAAUACACUUACGUCAGAAUAAAGACAAAUAUAAGGGAAUGGGUGAUAUCUUAAUAGCGUACGAAAAUAGUUUAACUUUCUGGAGCACGAAACUGUAUAUAUCAUUUAAGAAUCCGGUCCGUACCGCAAAGAAAACACAGCAGUUCACCAUUACAAAGUUCAGUUGGGAUUUAGUUACGAUUACGAGGGUAAAUCAGUCAUCUAAUUCGAUACCUGGCGCCAGAACCUCCACGCUGUUGAACACUUCGAUCCGGCUGACAACGUCGCCUGCCUCGUCCUGAAGCAGAAAUGCAAUGAAGCGACAUCAAGACAACUGAUCACAAGCCAGACAAAUCCGCAUUCAUGACAGAUUUCAGGGACAACUGGUAUGAAUUUUUAUUUUAAAUGUGAAACCUUCACGCCAGUUUUAAUGGGUGUUCAUGUUAGCGGUACUAACCUGGCCGAUGGCCGAACUGCUACCUGGGUAAGUGUCAGUGCUGGCGACAUUAACAGUAGGCUGUCGGCAGGCAGCUGGCAUGUGACAGUACGUUGUUGAUCGGCCGCUUGCUGCAGAUGUCGAUCCAUCUGUAUCUCCACCACCGCGGUGUACGCGAGACUUACUGCAUCCUGCUACAGGGUGACCAACUAUUGAAACAACUGACUCUAUCUCACUAGCCUUUUUUAAAAUGCGUAAACUAAUCUCAUUGUACGUCCUGAUUGACUGCUGGGUUUAUAGUCAAUUAAACUUCAUUUGUUAUUCAUAAAUAUUAAUGUAUGAAAUAAUUACAAUCAAAACUUAAGACUCUACUAGAUUAGAUAAAAUUAAAAAUGAAGAUAUACAGUUCAA